UUUAUUUGAGUUUACGAUGUCCCUGUUUACGUUUUCUUUAAUGGUCUAAGUUUAUUUCCUCCUCCAAUUCUUCAGUUUACUCAUUAAUACACUUCUAAGGCAUGAUUCUCCCUUUUAUUUGAGUCUACGAUGUUCUGUUUACAUUUUCUUUUAUGGUAUAGUUUAUUUCUUAGUCAAAUUCUUCAGUUUACUUAUUUAUACACUUUUAAGGCAUGAUUCUCUCUUUUUAUUUGAGUUUAUGAUGUUCUGUUUACGUUUUCUUUUAUGGUAUUGUUUAUUUCUUAGUCAAAUUCUUCAGUUUACUCAUUAAUACACUUCUAAGGCGUGAUUCUCCUCUUUUAUUUGAGUUUAUGAUGUUCUGUUUACAUUUUCUUUUAUGGUAUAGUUUAUUUCUUAGUCAAAUUCUUCAGUUUACUUAUUAAUACACUUCUAAGGCAUGAUUCUCCCCUUUUAUUUGAGUUUAUGAUGUUCUGUUUACAUUUUCUUUUAUGGUCCAGUUUAUUUCUUAGUCAAAUUUGUUUAGUUUACUUAUUAAUACACUUCUAAGGCGUGAUUCUCUCUUUUUAUUUGAGUUUAUGAUGUUCUGUUUACAUUUUCUUUUAUGGUAUAGUUUAUUUCUUAGUCCAAUUCUUCAGUUUACUCAUUAAUAUACUUCUAAGGCGUGAUUCUCCCCUUUUAUUUGAGUUUACGAUGUCCUGUUUACAUUUUCUUUUAUGGUAUAGUUUAUUUCUUAGUCAAAUUCUUCAGUUUACUUAUUAAUAUACUUCUAAGGCAUGAUUCUCCCCUUUUAUUUGAGUUUACGAUGUUCUGUUUACAUUUUCUUUUAUGGUAUAGUUUAUUUCUUAGUCCAAUUCUUCAGUUUACUUAUUAAUACACUUCUAAGGCAUGAUUCUCCCCUUUUUAUUUAAGUUUAUGAUGUCCUGUUUACAUUUUCUUUUAUGGUAUAGUUUAUUUCUUAGUCCAAUUCUUCAGUUUACUCAUUAAUACACUUCUAAGGCAUGAUUCUCCUCUUUUAUUUGAGUUUACGAUGUCCUGUUUACAUUUUCUUUUAUGGUAUAGUUAAUUUCUUAGUCAAAUUCUUCAGUUUACUUAUUAAUACACUUCUAAGGCAUGAUUCUCCCUUUUUAUUUGAGUUUACGAUGUCCUGUUUACGUUUUCUUUAAUGGUCUAUAGUUAUUUCCUAGUUUACAUCAUUAAGUUUAAACAUUAAUUUCUCUAACUUAAUUACGGCAUCUCCAAUCUUUUUAGUUAAGUUUAUAAUGACCCCGUUUACAUUUUCUUUUUAGUUCCCCUUCAAUGGGUCAGCACGGGUCGCUCACUUGACCUGUGCUGACCUGACCUCCGGAGACUGGUCAGGUAACGAGGAGGCUUUAGUUAGUCUGUUCCAGUGACGCAGAAAAACCAAUGAUCACCUUAUGGCAACAUCACACCCCUUGGCUCAGUGGUACAGUGUUCAAUCUCGACUCAUGUGAUCCUGGGUUCGAAUCCUGAGCGAGCUAGGAAAGGCUUUGUCCGGUAUUGUCAGACGCUCCAUCGUCAAUUACUUACAAAGGUCAAAGGUCAGUCGGGUUCUCAUCAGUGUUUCUUUAAGGUUCAUGGUACAGAGGAAGGGUCACACUACCACCAGGGUCAUGAAACUACCCCUGGAAACGCCCACAACCUCUUAAGAAAGCCUUGUCAAAUGAGUGUUUCUUUAGGUUCAUGGUACAGAGGAAGGGUCAAACUACCACCAGGGUCAUGAAACUACCCCUGGAAAUGCCCACAACUCCCACGAAAGCCUUGUCAAAUGUGUGUUUCUUUAGGUUCAUGGUACAGAGGAAGGGUCACACUACCACCAGGGUCAUAAAACUACCCCUGGAAAUGCAUAAAAUCCCAUGAAAGCCUUGUCAAAUGUGUGUCUCUUUAGGUUCAUGGUACAGAGGAAGGGUCACACUACCACCACGGCCACAAAACUACCCCUGGAAAUGCCCACAACUCCCACGAAAGCCUUGCCAAAUAUGUGUGAACCCUGAAAAGUUAAAAUAUAU